AAAGAAAAGGCGCUGAUCCAAAGGAAAAAUAAACGAAGAUAAAAAACCUAAUCUUUAGAUAGAGUUCUAUCUUUUUCACACUAUUCCAUCUCUGACGGCAUUCUCGUGUUGAAGCUCCGUCUCUGGCUCCCUCUCUGAAUCUACCAUAUUUGAAGCUCUCAUAUCUAUUGAAGGGCAACUAUUCAAGAUCAAUAGUUACACAGAUGGGUAUGCCUUCACCUCUUAAUACAGACUUGCCAUGAAUGAGAAGAAGACAAGAAGCGUGAGAGGUCAAGGAGUUGUUGAUUCAAGCUUUUCUCUGGCUGCACCACCAAUUGCUCUGUUAUUCUGGGUUUCAAUUGGGUCUGUGCUACCAUAUUUUAGUUCCAUGAUUCAAGUUGGGUCUCAACUUUCACAAGAGAUUGUGCAAAGGGAAAUGCAGGACAAUUUUCCUCAGAUAUGGAGGUCUCUUUUCUCCUUUUCAAUACCUAAGCAGUGGAAACUCUGUU